rnacentral:rRNA from 1 species
GACGAACGCUGGCGGCGUGCUUAACACAUGCAAGUCGAACGGAAAGGCCCUGCUUUUGUGGGGUGCUCGAGUGGCGAACGGGUGAGUAACACGUGAGUAACCUGCCCUUGACUUUGGGAUAACUUCAGGAAACUGGGGCUAAUACCGGAUAGGAGCUCCUGCUGCAUGGUGGGGGCUGGAAAGUUUCGGCGGUUGGGGAUGGACUCGCGGCUUAUCAGCUUGUUGGUGGGGUAGUGGCUUACCAAGGCUUUGACGGGUAGCCGCCCUGGGAGGGUGACCGGCCACAUUGGGCCUGAGAUACGGCCCAGACUCCUACGGGAGGCAGCAGUGGGGGAUGUUGCACGAUGGGCGGAAGCCUGAUGCAGCAACGCCGCGUGCGGGAUGACGGCCUUCGGGUUGUAACCCGCUUUCGCCUGUGACGAAGCGUGAGUGACGGUAAUGGGUAAAAAAGCACCGGCUAACUACGUG